rnacentral:rRNA from 1 species
UACGAAGGGGGCUAGCGUUGCUCGGAAUUACUGGGCGUAAAGCGCACGUAGGCGGCUUUCUAAGUCGGGGGUGAAAUCCUGGAGCUCAACUCCAGAACUGCCUUCGAUACUGGAGAGCUCGAGUCCGGGAGAGGUGAGUGGAACUGCGAGUGUAGAGGUGAAAUUCGUAGAUAUUCGGAAGAACACCAGUGGCGAAGGCGGCUCACUGGACUGGUAUUGACGCUGAGGUGCGAAAGCGUGGGGAGCAAACAGG